GUAGGUGGCAAGCGUUGUCCGGGAAUUAUUGGGGCGUAAAGCGCGCGCAGGCGGUUCUUUAAGUCUGAUGUGAAAGCCCACGGGCUCAACCGUGGAGGGUCAUUGGAAACUGGAGAACUUGAGUACAGAAGAGGAAAGCGGAAUUCCACGUGUAGCGGUGAAAUGCGUAGAGAUGUGGAGGAACACCAGUGGCGAAGGCGGCUUUCUGGUCUGUAACUGACGCUGAGGCGCGAAAGCGUGGGGAGCAAACAGGAUUAGAUACCCUGGUAGUCCACGCCGUAAACGAUGAGUGCUAAGUGUUAGGGGGUUUCCGCUCCUUAGUGCUGCAGCUAACGCAUUAAGCACUCCGCCUGGGGAGUACGGCCGCAAAGGCUG
rnacentral:rRNA from 1 species